CGUAGGUGCGAGCGUUGUCCGGAUUAUUGGGCGUAAAGGGCUCGUAGGUGGUUGAUCGCGUCGGAAGUGUAAUCUUGGGCUUAACCCUGAGCGUGCUUUCGAUACGGGUUGACUUGAGGAAGGUAGGGAGAAUGGAAUUCCUGGUGGAGCGGUGGAAUGCGCAGAUAUCAGGAGGAACACCAGUGGCGAAGGCGGUUCUCUGGGCCUUUCCUGACGCUGAGGAGCGAAAGCGUGGGGAGCGAACAGGCUU
rnacentral:rRNA from 1 species